rnacentral:rRNA from 1 species
CCUACGGGGCGCUGCAGUGGGGGAUAUUGCACAAUGGGGGAAACCCUGAUGCAGCGACGCCGCGUGAGUGAAGAAGUCUUUCGGUAUGUAAAGUUCUAUCAGCAGGGAAGAAAAUGACAGUACCUGACCAAGAAGCCCCGGCUAACUACGCGCCAGCAGCCGCGGGAAUAUGUAGGGGGGAAGCGUUAUCCGGAUUUACUGGGUGUAAAGGGAGCGUAGACGGUUAUGUACGGUUGGAGUGAAACCCCGGGGCCCAACCCCGGAACUGUUUUGGAAAAUGUGUAACUGGAGUACAGGAGGGGCAGGCGGAAUUCCUGGUGUAGCGGUGAAAUGCGUAGAUAUCAGGAGGAACACCAGCGGCGAAGGCGGCCUGCUGGACUGAAACUGACGUUGAGGCUCGAAAGCGUGGGGAGCAAACAGGAUUAGAUACCCUUGUAGUC